UACGAAGGGGGCUAGCGUUGCUCGGAAUCACUGGGCGUAAAGGGCGCGUAGGCGGCCGUUCAAGUCGGGGGUGAAAGCCUGUGGCUCAACCACAGAAUGGCCCUCGAUACUGGAUGGCUCGAGACCGGAAGAGGUUGGUGGAACUGCGAGUGUAGAGGUGAAAUUCGUAGAUAUUCGCAAGAACACCAGUGGCGAAGGCGGCUACCUGGACCAGCACUGACACUGAGGCACGAAAGCGUGGGGAGCAAACAGG
rnacentral:rRNA from 1 species